rnacentral:rRNA from 1 species
UACGUAGGGGGCAAGCGUUGUCCGGAAUUAUUGGGCGUAAAGAGCGCGUAGGCGGUCUGAUAAGUCGGUUGUGAAAGUCGGGGGCUCAACCCUCGGAUGCCGAUCGAUACUGUCAGGCUAGAGUCCGGAAGAGGCGAGUGGAAUUCCUGGUGUAGCGGUGAAAUGCGCAGAUAUCAGGAGGAACACCAAUGGCGAAGGCAGCUCGCUGGGACGGUACUGACACUGAGAGACGAAAGCUAGGGGAGCGAAUGGG